UGGAAGUGAUGAAACAGAGAUAAUUGGAUGUCCCUUUGAAUGGAGUGUGUGUGCGAUAAAUGGAAUUAAACCAAGUCUAGCUGGGGGUGGGCUGCGGGGGACGCGUGUGUGUGUGCGUGUACAGAAAAGGCUUUGAACGGGGGCGCUGACAACGCGGUGCUGAUUCCGGAGUGCAUCUGAGGCGUGUUGUUGAGUUCUGGGCUGCUGCUUUGCAACAUUGCCGAUGAUUAAAGCCCAAAACGAGCCCACCAGGACAAGCCUCGGCAUCUUAAAUCUCUAACAGGUUCAUUAAUGAAAGUGAUCCUGUGAUCUGAUCCAA
rnacentral:snoRNA from 1 species